rnacentral:rRNA from 1 species
GGAUCGAUCAUACCAGCACUAAUGCACCGGAUCCCAUCAGAACUCCGAAGUUAAGCGUGCUUGGGCGAGAGUAGUACUAGGAUGGGUGACCCCCUGGGAAGUCCUCGUGUUGCAUCCC